GAUGAACGCUGGCGGCGUGCCUAAUACAUGCAAGUCGAGCGAACGGACGAGAAGCUUGCUUUGCGGAUGUUAGCGGCGGACGGGUGAGUAACAAGUGGAUAACCUACCUAUAAGACUGGGAUAACUUCGAGAAACCGGAGAUAACAGGGGAGAAUAUUUUGAAGCGCAUGGGUCAAAAGUAAGAGACGGUCGUGCGGGCACUGAUAGAGGGAUCCGCGCUGCAUUAGCUAGUUGGUAAGGUAACGGCUUACGAAGGCAACGAUGCAUAGGCGACCUGAGAGGGUGAUCGCCCGCCUCGGAACUGAGCCACGGUCCAGACUCCUGCGUGAGGCAGCAGUAGGCAACCUUCCGCAAUGGGCGAAAGCCUGACGGAGCAACGCCGCGUGAGUGAUGAAGGCCUUCGGCUCGUAAAGCUCUGUUAUUAGGGAAGAACAUAUGUGUAAGUAACUGUGCACAUCUUGACGGUACCUAAUCAGAAAGCCCCGGCUAACUACGUG
rnacentral:rRNA from 1 species